CAAACUCUGAGGGAUUUCAGCCCCUCAGCCAUGAUAAAGGCGCCGUGAGGGGCUUCAGCCCCCUCAGCUCCCUCAGCCUUCAGCAAACUCUGAGGGAUUUCAGCCCCUCAGCCAUGACCAAGACGCUGUGAGGGGCUUCAGCCCCCUCAGCUCCCUCAGCCUUCAGCAAACUCCGUGAGGGACUUCAGCUUCUCAGCCAUGAUCAAGAUGCGGUGAGGGGCUUCAGACGCCUCAGCUCCCUCAAGCUUCAGCAAAUUCUGAGGGAUUUCAGCCAUGAUCAAGAUGCGGUGAGGGGCUUCAGCCCCCUCAGCUCCCUCAGCCUUCAGCAAACUCCAUGAGGCAUUUCAGCCAUGAUCAAGAUGCAGUGAGGGGCUUCAGCCCCCUCAGCUCCCUCAAGCUUCAGCAAACUCUGAGGGAUUUCAGCCCCUCAGCCAUGACCAAGACGCUGUGAGGGGCUUCAGACACCUCAGCUCCCUCAGCAAAGCCUGUGAGGGAUUUCAGCUCCUCAGUCAUGACCAAGACGCUGUGAGGGGCUUCAGACACCUCAGCUCCCUCAUCAAAGCCUGUGAAGGAUUUCAGCCCCUCAGCCAUGAUCUGACCGUUGAAGGCUUUCAACCCGUUCAGCCCUCAGUAUCCCGUUAAAAAAGGAUAUUUGUCAUCUCUUGAUCCGCUGCCAGGAAAACAUGGAAUUCUGGGAGAGCAAAGCUCCCAAACUGAUCGCUGCUCUCCACAGCCAGUGCUUAUCCAGUGGAUAAGAUCCAGGGAGGGAAGUUCAGCUCGCUGUGGAGAACCAGCAGCGGUCAGGAGCCGGCAUGGCGGGAAGGCUCAGCCCGGAUUCACACCUGCGCUCCGCCGGGAUCCGCGCCGCAACCCCGCAAGGUGCCAGGAGCCGGGGCGCCAGGAGCCAAGAUCCAGGGACAAGGGACCUUUAUCAGCUCUAACUUCAUCUCCGCCCCGAAAUAGCUGCAGCCGGCCCAGUCCUGCCAGAGGAAACUUCCAGAAGGUCUUCAUUUGGACACUUGGAGCUUCCAGUGGCUGCACUCUCCUCCCAGUUGGAAAUUCAUCCCCAAGCCUGCUUAUCUCCAGCCUGAAAUUCUUUGGCUGCAGCUUCCCCCAUGGAUGUCAGUGCCUUCCUGCCUGCAGGAUUAAGGGAUCCAUUCCAAUCGCUCCAUUGGCAGGCAGGCCUUCCCUGAUGCCCAGGGAAGCUCCCGAGACAGGAGUUCUGAGAUGGCCACGUCGUGGGAAGUUGUGGAUCCCUAAAGAUUUGUUCCACUGGACACUGGAGCAGGGAAGCAGGAGCUGGACUGGAAUCCCCCAAGGAUUUAGGAAGCACCAGGCACCAGGAAUUGAAUAAACUCCGGGCGCGAGCAGCUGAGAGGAACAGGCUGAAGGAGAAAAUGGGAUCAGCAUCUUUCAAAGGUUGCCCUCAGUUCAAGCUGUAACAGAUGGCGUGGAACGGCACCCGAGUGCAUCCCGACUCAGCUGCUCUCCCGGAGGCAGCGCCGCUGGACACAGCCCCUCGGGCACGGGUGGUCUCAGGCCCGGCAGAGCCGUCUGAUGUCCCCUCCCCAGGAGCUGGGAUGUUCCUGUGCUUUGCGGCCUCCACACAGCCACCACGAGGUGCCAGAGUGGGAUCUGUCCUCCCCGGGUGCUGCGAAGGGUCUGGGACGCUUGUCCUCACCUUCUGGGGAAUCAUCAGGAUGACUCCCAGGAUAUCCCAGCGCACGCCUGUCCCAUGUCUGCUCCCCACUUCCAGCAGGGAUCUGAUCAGUUCAGCUGAAGCCGAACAGCGCCACGGCCGCAGAAACAAUUCCGAGGGAAUGAUUUCCCAGCUCCUGGCCGAUGGACGUGGUGCCAUGUGUGUCCUGCUUUCAGGAAUUAAUGUCUUCCCUCCUCAGCCACCUACUGCUGCUCGCUUCAUUAAUGACAUUCUGGACACCGCUCCCGAGGGCAGCAAGGGAAGGGAAAUCUGGCUCCUGUCUGCAUGGCAGUGAUUCCGAGGCUCAGGCCCGGCUUCUCCUCAAGCUGGGCUGCAAAUGAACAGAAUUCCUGCUAUUCCUGCUGCUAAUAAGGAAUCAGGUAAGGCUCUGCUUUCACGGGAUCAUGGAAUGCCUGAAUGGUUUGGGUGGGAAGGGAUUUUAAGGAUCACCCAGUCGCACCACUGCCACGGGCCACUAUGCCACACCUUCCACUAGCCCAGGCUGCUCCAAGCCCCAUCCAACCUGGCCUGGGACACUUCCAGGGAUCCAGGGGCAGCCACAGCUGUUCUGGGCACCCUGGAGCAGAUCCUAUGGGAUCCAGGGCUGGGCCCCCUCUGGAAAUGACACCUCCAUUUGUACUUUACACACCGGAACCAACGUGACUCCCCAGCCCCAACAUUCCAGCUCAAAUAAUGACUCCCAUUAAAGCAGCGACAGCGCUGCCGGAUAAUGCGCCGAGGAUAAAGGAGGCAUUUAGAGGAUGGAAAACUAAUUGGUUCAGGAAUCAAAUUUGAAAAAUGCAGCAUCUUCCUGGAGCAGUGGGAGUGCAAACCCUCCGCCUUUAAUGAGCUGCCUCCAAAGGAGGCGGAUGUGUCAUAUUUCUCGGGAUGAGCUUGCAUUAGGAAGCUGCUGAGAUGGGAAUAGUCAUUACCUGCUUCCCACAAACCAUUGGCUCCUCCAGAGCAGCGGCCGCCGUUCUCGGGGCUCGGGGAGGGCGUGGUGUGAGCAGGGCCUGGCGCAGCCAGCGCCGCGUGCAGGUGCUGCAACGACUCUUCAGGAGCUACCCACGAUGGAUAUUAAAGGAAUUUGGGAACCUCUCGGUCCUGAUGGCUCCCAUCACAUUCCUAAUGAGGCUCAUUUACUGGGGCAAACAUCUUUCCCUCAUUAUUCCUCUGGAAUUCUGUGUACGUGCCCCGGCUUCAGGGGGAGCGAGGCUGCCGUGCACACAUGGGGUGACAUCCACAGCCGGGAUACCGGCAUGUGCCGGUGGGAGCAGCCAUCCCAGCCCUUGGGAGGGAGCUGGGAGCCACAGCCACGUGCUGUUGGAUCAAUUUCCAUGGGAAAUAGAUUCCACUGGGAUCCUGCCCAUGGCUUAUUUUAUCUUUCCUUACCCAAAGCCCUGGGAAGCCAGUUCAAGUCUGCACAAUGUGACCUUGGAAAGUGCAGGAAUUAUAUAUUUAUAUCUUUCCAGCUGUAUCCCAGUCACCACCUUUCAUCCAGAGGCAGUGGGCUGGGUGGUCACUGAAAACAUUCCAUUCCAUGCCAUUCCUGUUGGCAGCCAUGGCCACUGAAGGUCAGGGAGCACCUGCCAGCUGGUUUGGAGCAUUUGGGAAGCUGCUCCUUUCUUUCCCUCCCUGGUCAGGGAGAUGGGAGCUCCAUCUCCCAAGCAGAGCACACAUGUCCCUGGUGGGCCACCAGGCAGCUGCAGCUGGAGAAGCGCUUGGAAAGGUCAGAGGAAUACAUUAAACUGUCUCCCGGCCACCUCAGCAGAUGCCGCUGGCUCUUCCGUGGCCGGAACCUCGGGCAAAGCUGCCCUGGCAGCCACGGCCCCUCGGCUCAGCCUCCCUGGGGAUGCCGAGCGGGAGAGAGUCACCUUGCCCUGGCACAGGGAAAACUGGGCAUUUGGCUGCAGGGUGUCAGGAAAAGAGAUGGGAGACAGGAGAUGGGAGUCAGUCAUGGCUGACAGCGAGGGUCACUUAUGGGACAGCACCCAGACAUGACACUGCUGUUUAUCCAGGGCAAAACUCCACUUUGGGAGUUUUAAUCCCCCCCUUGGGAUUUCUUUUGGAACCCUUGUCAGUUCGAGCCUCAGUGGUUCAGCCCCAGAAAUCCUGCUGGCCAUUCCCAGCACGGACUGGAGCCUGUGCUCAGGGGGACACCCUGUGCUGGAGUUCCCAAAAAGCACCUGAGGACAGGCAGGGACCCUUCCUGGGACAUCCCAAUCCUGCCUUGUGCUGGAGCUGCUGGUGGUACUGGGGGAAGACCCCCUUGCACCUGCCAGAGGGGAGCAGAAAGGCAGCUCUGAAACUGGGAAAUAUUCCUUUAAUCAGAAGAAUUAAGGAGUAAGAGCUCCAGAUCCUGCUUCCAGCUCCGAGUGCGCAGGCUCGCUGGAUUCUCCGCGGUGCCGAGGGUUGAGGGAGAGCAGAGUUUGGCCACUGGCUGGAAGAGAUAAGCCCUGCACGCUCCUGAAUGUGGAACAGGGGUAAUGAGGUGAUAUUCCCGCUGAUAAGGAGCCCUCCCCGUUAUCAGCAGCAAAGGCAGGUGUUCCCAGUGUUUAUGUUUGCAGCGGAACACGUUGCGUGGAAAUCGAUAUUACGGUGAAGCUGUUGUUCCCUAUGGAAAAUGGAAAUCAAUCUGUGAGGCUCCCGGGCCCUGGGAGCUGAGUGGAGGAGCUCUGAUGGUGCCUUGGAGAAUCAUGGAAUGGGUUGGCUUGGAAAGGAUUUGAAGGAUCAUCCCAUUCCACCCCUGCCAUGGGCAGGGACACCUUCCAUUAGCCCAGGUUGCCCCAAGCCCCAUCCAGCCUGGCCUGGGACACAGCCUGAACACCCAGUCAGAGCCAAGCGGCGGGGAAAGGCUCCUGGGAUGGGGAGCACCCAGCAAAGGUGUCCACGGCCACUCCUGGGUGGGGCCUGGGGCCGUCCCCACGGCCCUGAACCCGAUGGCUCUUUGUGCCAGCCCUCCCCAGCUCCACGUGUUUACAUUCCUUCUGCUUAAUAUUUCUGCAAUCUUCUCUGGCAUCAUCCACUCGGAAUUUUUCUCCUCCCACUUCACACCUCGGCAGAGCCUUCUGGUCCCGCAGCAGAUGCAUUGUGAAGCUUCUCCUUCUCCGGCGCCUGCAUAUGCUCCAUUAAAAGUGUUUGUUUCUUUGAGCUGCUCCUAGUUGGGAUGUGACAAAAAAAAACCCUCCCAACUUUUUUGGCCUGGGUUCGGCAGCCCCCGGCCCCGCGCCGAGGAGCUCCAGGCGCGCGGGGUCCCCGUGUCACCCGCCCGCUGCGUGCCAGCGAUUUCCCCGUGCUCGCGCCGGUGCCUCCGACGUGCACUGGCACCCAAAGAUAGAAAUUGGGCUUCUGCAUCCCUGCACAGCAAGAACAUGGUGGGAGGUGCCAACUGGGAGCACAGAAACCGGGAUGGAGCCGUUGCCUAGUGAUGGGAAGCGCGGGCAGGCUGGCAUUUCCCGCGGCGGGAACGCCAGCCCCCACCUGGCACCGGCACGGGGGGCUCCGAGGGGAGAGGGCACGCGGAGGUCACCCCAGAGGUAAACCGAGGCACGGCCAGCGCUGGGAGGGCACAGAUCCCGCCUCUCCUCAGGGAUGCCUGGUACCCCCAGGGCUCCAAGGAGCUCUGCUGGUUCCUGCACUGCCACACUGGGAAAACAUCUCCCUGAAUAUCCCAGCGUGAGCUGUGGGGAAGGCUCUGCUCCAGACACCCUGCACAGAGCCAGCAGAAUUCCUGCCUGGAUUAAUAGCCCCACGCAUGGAUUUUUAUGGCAUGGCUCUGGCCACAGCUGCCACCCACCAAAUAGCCUGUGCUUUUAUUCCUGUUGGAAAAGGUGUUUGGUUACAAUUCCUACAAAUGUGAAGAUUUAAAAAUAACGGUGUCCUGCAAGCCCUAACACAUUUGGGAGUUUCACUUCCAUGAAGCAUCCCCAAUUAUGGAAUCCCACAUCCUUCACAAAAGUAGUAUUACAGCGUAUUUCAGGAUGCUUCCCACUGGGAAGCAGUGCCCUUGUCCCCUCUCUUGUCACCUUGGGCAGGGGUGCCAAGGGAGGGGGUCCUGUCCUGCGUGGGAAUUCCCAUUUUCCCCAUUUCACUCUGGAAUCGCACCUGGCAGAGCGCUGCCCUUGUCCCAGACCCCACCAAACAGUCACUGACCGGGGGCAGCCCUUUGGGGCACUGCAUCCCAGGGGCUCCAUCCACCUCCAAGCCCCACCUUGGCUCCCGACAGCGGGGAGCGGGCCGGGAGCGCCGCCCCUGGCACUCCGUCAGCGCGGCUCCGGCGGCACGAACAGAUGCUCUCCCACUCCCGCUGGCCUGGAGGUUGCUGAGCAAUUUGGGGGUGAUGGAUGAGAUGCUCCGAGAUGAUUUCUGAGCGUGCCAUGGGAAAGAGACCACCAUCCUUCCAGGCAAUGGGAAUCGCUCCGGAGCGUGCUCUCCACCUGCUCCCUCUGCAGCCCAGGGCUGGUGUCCCUCACUGAGCCAUCCAGCACCCGAUCCCAGGGAUCUGCAGCACCAGCAGCUCCAGAGGGGGCUGGCCUGUCCCUUCCCAGCUCCACAGCCAGCUGGAAAUCACCAGUUCUGACAGUAUUCCCUCAAUAUUAGAACAAUUCCCAAACAUAUGGAAGGACUCCACUUAGAGCAUUAAGAGCAAUGAAAUACUCCAGCUGACAUUUAAU